rnacentral:tRNA from 1 species
UGUAAAAUAAGCUAAUUAGAAAGCUGUUGGGCUCAUACCUCAAAAAUGAAUUAAUUCUUUUACAU